GACAAAUCAAAUAUGUCAGAAAGGACAAUCGUAUAAUCUGUGUACCAGUCUUUACUUUCAGUACUUUGAUUGCUUCCUUUUAUAGGUCUUGACUGCUGGCAAUGGAGUCUCCUGUACGAGGAAAUACAAGAAACUAUGAAAUGUGAACAAAUAGUAGUACAUGGAUUGACAGGAUUAUCUUUGUCUUAGCAAACUUGAUGUUCAUAUGUAUUUAGUUAGCUAUUCAUCAUAACAUGUACUUUAUGUGUAAAAGUUAAAAUUAUUCAUAUUUAUUGUGAUGUGCUAUUUAUGUGUCUGAAUGUAAUGCAAAUAAAGCACGUGUAUAUAUGUUGUAAUAAAAAUUGAACCAAUUUG
rnacentral:misc_RNA from 1 species